rnacentral:rRNA from 1 species
UGCAGUCGAACGAUGAACCACUUCGGUGGGGAUUAGUGGCGAACGGGUGAGUAACACGUGGGCAAUCUGCCCUUCACUCUGGGACAAGCCCUGGAAACGGGGUCUAAUACCGGAUACUGACCCUCGCAGGCAUCUGCGAGGUUCGAAAGCUCCGGCGGUGAAGGAUGAGCCCGCGGCCUAUCAGCUUGUUGGUGAGGUAAUGGCUCACCAAGGCGACGACGGGUAGCCGGCCUGAGAGGGCGACCGGCCACACUGGGACUGAGACACGGCCCAGACUCCUACGGGAGGCAGCAGUGGGGAAUAUUGCACAAUGGGCGAAAGCCUGAUGCAGCGACGCCGCGUGAGGGAUGACGGCCUUCGGGUUGUAAACCUCUUUCAGCAGGGAAGAAGCGAAAGUGACGGUACCUGCAGAAGAAGCGCCGGCUAACUACGUGCCAGCAGCCGCGGUAAUACGUAGGGCGCAAGCGUUGUCCGGAAUUAUUGGGCGUAAAGAGCUCGUAGGCGGCUUGUCACGUCGGUUGUGAAAGCCCGGGGCUUAACCCCGGGUCUGCAGUCGAUACGGGCAGGCUAGAGUUCGGUAGGGGAGAUCGGAAUUCCUGGUGUAGCGGUGAAAUGCGCAGAUAUCAGGAGGAACACCGGUGGCGAAGGCGGAUCUCUGGGCCGAUACUGACGCUGAGGAGCGAAAGCGUGGGGAGCGAACAGGAUUAGA